rnacentral:rRNA from 1 species
GAUGAACGCUGGCGGCGUGCCUAAUACAUGCAAGUCGAACGACCACACGAUAAGCUUGCUCCCCUAACGUUAGCGGCGGACGGGUGAGUGACACGUGGAUAACCUUCUUCUUUUUCUUGGAUAACUUCGGGAAACCGCUGCUGCUACCAGCUCAUAUGUUGAACCGCAUGGUUCAAUAGUGCAUCACGCUUUUGCUGUCACUUAUAGAUGGAUCCGCGCCGCAUUAGCUAGUUGGUAAGGUAACGGCUUACCAAGGCGACGAUGCGUAGCCGAGCUGAGAGGGUGAUCAGCCACACUGGAACUGAGACACGGUCCAGACUCCUACGGGAGGCAGCAGUAGGGAAUAUUCCGCAAUGGGCGAAAGCCUGACGGAGCAAUGCCGCGUGAGUGAUGAAGGUCUUCGGGUCGUAAAGCUCUUUUAUUAGGGAAGAAAAAAUGUGUAAGAAACUAUGCACGUCUUGACGGUACCUAAUGAGAAAGCCACGGCUAACUACGUG